rnacentral:rRNA from 1 species
GAUGAACGCUGGCGGCGUGCCUAAUACAUGCAAGUCGAGCGAACAGACGAGGAGCUUGCUCCUCUGACGUUAGCGGCGGACGGGUGAGUAACACGUGGAUAACCUACCUAUAAGACUGGGAUAACUUCGGGAAACCGGAGCUAAUACCGGAUAAUAUAUUGAACCGCAUGGUUCAAUAGUGAAAGACGGUUUUGCUGUCACUUAUAGAUGGAUCCGCGCCGCAUUAGCUAGUUGGUAAGGUAACGGCUUACCAAGGCAACGAUGCGUAGCCGACCUGAGAGGGUGAUCGGCCACACUGGAACUGAGGCACGGUCCAGAGUCCAACGGGAGGCAGCAGUGGGGAAUCUUCCGCAAUGGGCGAAAGCCUGACGGAGCAACGCCGCGUGAGUGAUGAAGGUCUUCGGAUCGUAAAACUCUGUUAUGAGGGAAGAACAAAUUUGUAAGUAACUAUGCACGUCUUGACGGUACCUGAUCAGAAAGCCACGGCUAACUACGUG